UGUCGGGACCUGCGAUGGGGGAUCAGCGAACCCCGCCAGGUCCGGGAGGAAGCAACGGUAGUUGGUCUUCCAUGCGCGGGUCCCGACCUCC
rnacentral:SRP_RNA from 1 species